AAGAUCUUUGAAAAUGUUGGGUGUUGCUGCGGGAUGGAGAUUGGAUGGGCAAGAAGAACAGCUCGACCAUUUAACUACUGUGCCUUACAGAGACCUGGUAAUCAGCACCCGAUGAGGACGAGAGCUUGCAAAGCCCUGACCUUUUACCCUACUCUUCUCACUUCUUGGAAUUAUGUAGAUGUGAUGAAUUCGACCCGGUCCAAGUGGAUUCACAACACAAGCGCCGCGGACAUUCACGACUGCACUGGAACAAUCGUUCUGGUCCCUGUUGGUAGCGGCAUUGUUGAGCUCUUCAGCGCAAAGCCUACGCCAGAAGAACCCCACAUAAUAGAAAUGAUCAUUCAUUGGGGUCACUUCUUCAAAGAAGCCAUGAAUCUCAGGCCCUGGGAUAUAAAGACCAACGAAUUCCUGAUCCAAGAGUACUUGAUUUCCUGUCUUUUGCCGCCCCACCUUUCGAGUUUGGACUCUGGACUACAACAACUUCCGAUAGGAACAUGAAGUAGCAAAAAUCCUGAAGGAUCAUUGGGAUAUCUUUCCCAAGCUCGAGUGAUGAAGCAGUCUGUUAUCGGAUCCACGAGGUCCGAAGAUUCCAAAAGUUUGUCGGAACAGCCAAAUUUCUCGGUUUGUGCUGCGGCUGCGAAGGGUAAAGCCAUUCGCAAACAGGAAGGAGGUGAAUGUCGCUCAAAGAGACUGAUCGCAGAGCAGGAGAGUAGGACCAUGUAUAGGGACCAGAUCCAUGCUCUCCGUUCACUUGUCCCAAAGAUAUCCAAGGUCCACUGAACUUUCGUUGCUUUACUCUGGAAAGUAAUCCAUUUGUUUGGCAUUCAAAGCUGUUUUCUUUGAUGCAGUCUUUCACUGCGUGUUGCAGUAUUGAGGAAUUCCUCUGGUCAACAUCAAUUUCUAUUUCACACAAGCACAAUUUUUUAUUCAGGAAAGCAUGCACUUGAAGAUUGUCAUCUUUUAAGAAUUACAUGCAGUAACAAAUUCUUUCAUAGUCAUGUUGCUUGUUAUUUUACUUGAAGAAUAUGAAUAUCCAUCCUUCCCUGUAUUGACUAGAUGGACGAGAAUUCAAUCCUGGGGGACGCUGUUGAUUACAUUAAGGAUUUACAAAUGAAGGUGAGAAACCUCAAGGAGGAACAUGGCAAAAGCUUGGCCAGACUACGCGAUAACGCAGAGUCUUCCUGUCUUGACCCAAAGACGGACACGGAGGUGAACAAAGCGCAUGUGGAGGUGAUUGGGAAACGAGAUUUUCUGGUCAAGAUAUUAUCGUUGAACAAGCAAGGAUGAUGGCUUUCUAGGAUGAUGGAGGGGAUGAAAUCACUGGGAAUUACUGUAGUUGAUGCCCAUGCCACCACGUUAAAUGGCAAAGUCCUGGCCAGUCUUGUGCUUGAGGUAAGUCUGUGAGGAUGUUGUGGCGAAUGAGAGCAAUUACAGAAUUUCCUUCUUAGAUAAGCUUCCACAAUCAUUGGUCCAUCCUACUUUAAAUUGAUCUUCAUGCUCCAAUUCAAGUAUGUGCAGAACAGAAGGCAUACUUUUAAUGAAGUGUGCAUAAAAUGAAAAUUAUCUGAAUAUUUGUUUGCCAGAUCUGUUCUCUGUGCAUUUCUUUUCCUCCAUGACUCGAUAGUUUCAUGAUUCCAGUUUCUGGUUUGUUCUAAGACUGUUCUUGUUCUUCCAGCUAAAAGUUGAUAUCCUUCCAGUGAAUCUGAGAAACUCGGUGAUGAUACAGCUAGCGAGCUUAAUUAGUCAGUAAGAACAACCGAGGUUAUCAUUGAGUGCGAAGUUUGUGCAGAAGUUUCCUUGUACCCUAAGAGAAAGUAUGUGAGGAAGGAAGUGAGGCUUCCCUUCUGAUCCAUUGUUAUCAACAUAUAAUAUCUAAACAUUUCAGAUGUAUCCGUCUGUUUCAUCAGUAUGAAACCAUUAGGAAACUGAUUAUUAUCUUCUCUUUAAUUGUUGAAUCAAUUUGUAUGUUAUGUUGUGAUCGCCAUUUGUGAUUGGUGAUACCGAGCAUGUGAAGAUAGUGAUCCAAUUUUACGUAUAAGCUAAUUCGAGGAGCACCACACUUUUCCCACCAAGCAAAGAAUUCAGAGCAAAUCGCAACUCAGAGGUUUGGAAGUGGAAGGCUGCGGGAGCGUCAAAGGACCACCAAGAGUUGUGACCUUUUACCCGUUCUAGGCAUGUGCAUCGGUCCUGGUCCAAUCCGGGAAUUGGACCGAACCGGAUCGCACCUAGCAAGUUUCACUCUUCCACCAUUGCCUGCCCCGGAUGUUCCAGGAUAUUCUGAACAUCGACUUUAACACCGUCAAUACCAGCGCAAGAUAGGAGUGGAGUUCGUUGUAAAAGCUGAAAACUUUCUCAGGAUUGACAAGGCCAAGGCCAAUAGUAGUGAUGCUAUUGAGAGCAUAACAAGGCUCAUUUGAUUGAACUCCUGGAGAUGAGACAGGUAACGAAGUGACAAAGGCCCAAUGCCGGAUCAUCGACUCUGCUACCCUCUUGGCCAUUUUUCUGGAACUUAUGUUUCUUCUUGAUAUGGUUAAUCGGUUUACAAAGCUGAUACAACAAAGACACUGAGUGUCAACCAAAUGCAUUGCAGCCAAAACUGCAGAAAGUGAAAAUUAUUCUGCCACUUCCUUAGCAGUGUUGUCUUUGCUGGCGGGAUCCAUGCCAACAGAUUGCCAUCCAUCAUCAAUUAUGACAAACCUGGGAGGGUGCUUGAAAUGUUCAAGCCCUUGGUCUCACCUUUGACAAAGGUUCUGAUGACUGUUUCACAUCUGAGGAAUUUGGCGUGCUAUCGAAUUUAAGGUUCCUAAACUUGGAUCGACUAAUAUGAGAGGAAACUUCACUAGUUUUCUUUUAGAAUUCAGGUGGCUUCAUUGGCGAGGUUGCCAUAAGAGCUCUGAGCCUCUUGUUUUGAACCUAGAAAACUUGGUCAUUCUUGAUCUAUCCUGGAGCGUAGUGGCAGAUGACUGGGAAGGUUCAACACAAAUACUGGAGAAGGCAAACAACUUGAAAGUUAUAGACCUAACUGGUUGCGGUCAAUUAUGUAAAACGCCAUGCUUCCCAGCUGGUAGCAAAUUAGAAAGACUGAUUCUUGAACGAUGUUCUCAUUUGUCACUUAUUGACAAAUCCAUUGGUAAUUUGAAAUAUUUGAGAGUCUUUGAACAUGAAGUCCACUCCGAUUGCCCUGCUGCCGGAAGAGAUGGGUUCCUUGGAUAAUUUGGAAGAGCUUCUGAUUGAUGAAACUUCCAUAUGUCACCUUCGUUUCUUAAGAGGUUCUAUCCAACAACUUAAAACUCUUAGUGCUUCCGGCUGCAAAAAAUUUGGCUGAAAUAUCCGAGUCUAUUGGUUGUUUAAGUUCCCUGUCAUAUCUUGCAUUGGAUAAAGCCAUUAUCACAGGACUCCCAAAUUCUGUUAAGUUGUUGGAGGGACUUGUGGAGCUGUCUUUAAGAGACUCUCAGCGGAUGACUGCACUUCCGGACUCCAUUGGGAAGCUUACGUCACUACAGAAAAUGGAUCUGUCAAACACCAGAAAUCAGAUAUUGCCAGAAUCGAUAAAAAAAUUUGGAUAGAGUAGAGGUGCUAAGAAUUAAGAAUACUAACAUAAGAAAGUUUCCUAAAGAUAAUGUAAAUCUAGAGAAGUUGGAAGUCAUAACAAUUUCUGGCUGCCCUUUGAAUGGGAAAAUUCCGUGUGAUAUUUCGGGGUUAUCAUCUUUGAGAAUCUUGAAGUUAUCAUUUACCCUGAUUUUUAGCCUA